rnacentral:rRNA from 1 species
GCUUAUUCUAGAUAUGGUCUGCCAGUGUUAACUAUAAAUGGCCGCAGAACUAUAACUGUGCGAAGGUAGCGCAAUCACUUGUCUUUUAAAUGGAGACUGUAUGAAUGGCUGCAUGGGGAGCAUCUGUCUCCUUGGGGUUAAUUUGAAAUUAAUAAGCAGGUGAAAAGGCCUGUUUUUUGAAAAAAGACGAGAAGACCCUGAGAGCUUUUAAGAAAAGCCUCGUGUGAGGCCAAAUUUUUGUUGGGGCAACAAAGGGGCAGAAAGAUUAAUCUCCUUUAUUUACUCGCUAUUUCUAAUAUGUGCAGGAAUAAGCUACCUCAGGGAUAACAGCAUAAUUUUUUUAAAAGUUUGUGACCUCGAUGUUGGACUAGGUAUAAGUAAUCCUCAGAAGGGAUUGUUUUGGCUCUGUUCGAGCAAUUUAACCUACGUGAUCUGAGUCCAGACCGGA